GACGAACGCUGGCGGCGUGCUUAACACAUGCAAGUCGAACGGAAAGGCCCUGCUUUUGUGGGGUGCUCGAGUGGCGAACGGGUGAGUAACACGUGAGUAAACUGCCCUUGACUUUGGGAUAACUUCAGGAAACUGGGGCUCAUACCGGAUAGGAGCUCCUGCUGCAUGGUGGGGGUUGGAAAGUUUCGGCGGUUGUGGAUGGACUCGCGGCUUACCAGCUUGUUGGUGGGGUAGUGGCUUACCAAGGCUUUGAAGGGUAGCCGGCCUGAGAGGGUGACCGGCGACAUGGGGCCUGAGAGACGGCCCAGACGGCUACGGGAGGCAGCAGGGGGGAAUAUUGCAGAAUGGGCGGGAGCCUGAGGCAGCAACGCCGCGUGCGGAAUGACGGCCUUCGGGGUGUAAACCGCUUUCGCCUGUGACGAAGCGUGAGUGACGGUAAUGAGUAAGGAAGCACCGGCUAACUACGUG
rnacentral:rRNA from 1 species